rnacentral:rRNA from 1 species
UGGGCAAUCUGCCCUGCACUUCGGGAUAAGCCUGGGAAACUGGGUCUAAUACCGGAUAGGACCACUUGGCGCAUGCCUUGUGGUGGAAAGCUUUUGCGGUGUGGGAUGGGCCCGCGGCCUAUCAGCUAGUUGGUGGGGUGAUGGCCUACCAAGGCGACGACGGGUAGCCGGCCUGAGAGGGUGUCCGGCCACACUGGGACUGAGAUACGGCCCAGACUCCUACGGGAGGCAGCAGUGGGGAAUAUUGCACAAUGGGCGCAAGCCUGAUGCAGCGACGCCGCGUGGGGGAUGACGGCCUUCGGGUUGUAAACCUCUUUCACCAUCGACGAAGGCUCACUUUGUGAGUUGACGGUAGGUGGAGAAGAAGCACCGGCCAACUACG